ACGCGCCGGGAGCUUGCUCCUGGUGGCGAGUGGCGAACGGGUGAGUAAUAUAUCGGAACGUGCCCUAGAGUGGGGGAUAACUAGUCGAAAGAUUAGCUAAUACCGCAUACGAUCUACGGAUGAAAGUGGGGGAUCGCAAGACCUCAUGCUCAUGGAGCGGCCGAUAUCUGAUUAGCUAGUUGGUGGGGUAAAAGCUCACCAAGGCGACGAUCAGUAGCUGGUCUGAGAGGACGACCAGCCACACUGGAACUGAGACACGGUCCAGACUCCUACGGGAGGCAGCAGUGGGGAAUUUUGGACAAUGGGCGCAAGCCUGAUCCAGCAAUGCCGCGUGAGUGAAGAAGGCCUUCGGGUUGUAAAGCUCUUUUGUCAGGGAAGAAACGGUCUUGGUUAAUACCUGGGGCUAAUGACGGUACCUGAAGAAUAAGCACCGGCUAACUACGUGCCAGCAGCCGCGGUAAUACGUAGGGUGCAAGCGUUAAUCGGAAUUACUGGGCGUAAAGCGUGCGCAGGCGGUUAUACAAGACAGAUGUGAAAUCCCCGGGCUCAACCUGGGAAUUGCAUUUGUGACUGUAUGGCUAGAGUGUGUCAGAGGGGGGUAGAAUUCCACGUGUAGCAGUGAAAUGCGUAGAUAUGUGGAGGAAUACCGAUGGCGAAGGCAGCCCCCUGGGAUAACACUGACGCUCAUGCACGAAAGCGUGGGGAGCAAACAGGAUUAGAUACCCUGGUAGUCCACGCCCUAAACGAUGUCUACUAGUUGUCGGGUCUUAAUUGACUUGGUAACGCAGCUAACGCGUGAAGUAGACCGCCUGGGGAGUACGGUCGCAAGA
rnacentral:rRNA from 1 species